UAUGUGAUCGUCUCUCGCAUAUCAAUAAGCGGAGGAAAAGAAACUAACAAGGAUUCCCCUAGUAACGGCGAGUGAAGCGGGAAGAGCUCAAAUUUGAAAUCUUAAAGGGUUUCCCUUUACGAAUUGUAGUUUAAAGAAGUGUUUUCUGUUGAGGUUUUGGUAAAAGUUCUUUGGAAUAGGACAUCAUAGAGGGUGAGAAUCCCGUAUUUGACCUUUACUCUCAACUUUGUGAUACACUUUCAAAGAGUCGGAUUGUUUGGGAAUGCAGUCCAAAAUGGGUGGUAAAUUUCAUCUAAAGCUAAAUAUUGGCGAGAGACCGAUAGCGAACAAGUACCGUGAGGGAAAGAUGAAAAGAACUUUGAAAAGAGAGUUAAACAGUACGUGAAAUUGUCAAAAGGGAAGCGUUUGACACCAGUGUUGUUUUUCUGAAAAUCAAUUAAAGAACUGUUUAUGCUAAGCUGUUUAGACUUUAUCAGCUAUCUGUUUAGUUUUGAGCUUUUCUUUAAUGCACUUUUCAGUUAACAAGUCAACAUCAAUUUCUUUUGCUGUAAAAAAGCUUGAGGAAGGUGGCUUGAGAUUCGUCUUAAGUGUUUAUAGCCUCUUGCCUAUGCAGUCGGAGAGAUUGAGGUCUGCAGCGUAGAUCCUUCAGGGCUAAAUGCAUUUGUGCUAAGUUAUAGCAUUUUAUAGACAACUUGUUGACUAUGAUUUGUCUUGUAGCUUACUCGCUUAUGUUAUUUUACCUACGCUUAGGAUGUUGAGCGCAUGUCUCUCUCU
rnacentral:rRNA from 1 species